GUGGACAAGCGGCCUUUGCAUCCUUCGCCGCUGGUUGGAAAUGCAGUUUUGGACCCCCUCCUCCCCCGCCAGGGCUCCCACCCAACCGGAAUCUGCAUUUUAACCGGACACCCAGGCGAUUCCUGUGCACAUUAAGUGUGAGACGACCUGGAAAGAAAAUGAAGUGGUUGAAAACAAAGUUAGAGCUGAAGAGUUAAGUUUCUGGUGCCUGCGUUGGAGAGUUUUGCUGAUUGAUCCUGUCAUUUUUAAACAAUAUAUGCUACCAAAAAAGAAAGUCUUCUAAGCCCCAGGGUCCAGUGCUGGUGAGAGGCCACGUGGCAAAUGCAAAGUGCCUAGAGUGUAAAGUAGCAGAAGGCUGCCUUAAAACCCCAGCUUCCCCACGUACACUGUGAGCCUGGCCAAGUUCCCUGAGAUCUCUGAACCUCAGUUCCUCGUUCGUUACAUGACGGAAAUCGUGUUGACCUCAUAGGGUUUACUGUGAGAAUUGAAUGAGGUAAUUCCUUUAUAUGUAUAUGUAAGUAUUUUAUUUUAUAUUCAAGGGGUACAUGUGCAUUUUUGUUACAAGGGUAUAUUGCUUGAUGCUCAGGUUUGGGCUUCAGUUGAUCCCCAAACGGUGAAGACAGUACCCAAUAGGAAGUUUUUCAAUGCUUGUUUCCCUUCCUCUCUCCUCCCUUUUGGAGUCCCCAGUGUCUAUUGUUCCUGUGAACGAGAUAAAUUUUCUUUUUUUCUUUUUAAUACAGGCUCUUGCUCUGUCACUCAGGCUGGAGUACGGUAGCACUGUCGUAGCUCACUGCAGCCUUGAACUCCUGAACUAAAGCAACUCUCUCGUGCCAGCCUCCCAAAGUGCUAGGAUUACAGGUAUGAGCCACCACACCCAGCUAGUUUUAAUUUUUUUUUUUUUUUUUGUAGAGACGGGGUUUCACUACGUUGCCCAGGUUGGUCUGGAACUCCAGGACUCACUCAAUCUUCUAGCCUCGGCCUCCCAAGGUGCUGGGAUUACAGGCGUGAGCCACCGUGCCUACUCGAAUGAGGUAAUUCUUGACAAAAUAAAUGUGUGGCUAGUACAUCUUAACAUGCUUUUCUUGCUGUACUUGUCUCUGUAGCAAGUGCUGGCUGUGCAUUAGCUUUCUUGUCCCCUUCACCCCUUUGGUAGUGGAGCCUGGAGAGAAUUUACUUGGGAACUCAAGUGUGCCAGCAAAGGAGACACAAUUGAUGAGGGUACUAAGCACACUGUUUGGGUGAUGAUGUUUUUCAAAACAAUAUCAUUAGAUCUUCACAUACAGAGCUGGGAGAUAACAUAGUCCCUAUGACAGAUGUUAGACUAGGACCCCAAAUGACCUCGUAUGGUGUGCCAGUGUCUUCUUCAUUUGCUCCAAGGACACAGCAUGAAUAGAAUAGGCUUUGCCAUCAGCAAGGGCCCUCUCCUAGUUUUUCCCUAGCAUUUCAGAUGCUUGGCACCUGUAACCGGAUUUUCCCUGCACUGAGAGUCAGUGUGUCUUGAUGAAAUGAGCACUGGUUUGGAGUCAGAAGACCUGGGCUGGUAUCAUGCCCCUGCAGCUUAGUUGACAUGUGUUUGGAUGAGUCACUUCUCUGAACAUAUCUUUAUCAUCUAUAAAAUAGGCAUCCUAAUAAUAUUUCCUAAACACUUAUUCUGACAAGGUUUUAUGAGGACCAGAAGAAAUAAGGAAAGGCAAAGCUUUGUAAAUCGGAGAUGCCUCACCAGCACUAUCAUUCCUGUGACUUCCGAUCACCAAGGAGAAGGGACCAGCUUUUAGCACACAGAGCCUGGGAUGGUAGAAUGCCAGACAUUUCACAGUCCAUUGGGGGUGAUCUAUGGCAGAUGGUGUUCCUAGCACCUUUUUCAAAUUGG
rnacentral:lncRNA from 1 species